GCCUGGGUGGCUCAGUCAGUAAAGCAUCUGACUUUGGAUGGGGCCAUGAUCUCAUGGUUUGUGGGUUCGAGCCCCACAUCAGGCU
rfam:Felis catus isolate Cinnamon breed Abyssinian chromosome D1, whole genome shotgun sequence.